rnacentral:lncRNA from 1 species
UCAGCACCCAUGGGUGCUCCCGGAAAGGACCUCAGCACCCAUGGGUGCUCCUGGAAAGGACGUCAGCACCCAUGGGUGCUCCCGGAAAGGACUCAGCACCCAUGGGUGCUCCUGGAAAGGCCCCAGCACCCAUGGGUGCUCCUGGAAAGGACCCAGGGCAACCCCCACCCAUGGGUGCUCUGAGGAGAACCCCAGCACCCAUGGAUGCUCCUAGGGAGGACCUCAGCACCCAUGGGUGCUCCUAAAGAGUGUCCUCAGCACCCAUGGGUGCUCCUAAGGAGGAUCACCAGCACCCAGGGGAGCUCUCGGGACCUCCCCAGCACCCGUGGGUGCUCCUAGGGGGGACCUCAGCACCCAUGGGUGCUCCUGGAAAGGACCCCAGCACCCAUGGGUGCUCCUAAGGAG